rnacentral:rRNA from 1 species
AUUGAACGCUGGCGGCAUGCCUUACACAUGCAAGUCGAACGGUAGAGGGGCAACCCUUGAGAGUGGCGAACGGGUGAGUAAUAUAUCGGAACGUGCCCAGUCGUGGGGGAUAACGUAGAGAAAUUUACGCUAAUACCGCAUACGAUCUAAGGAUGAAAGCGGGGGACUCGCAAGGGCCUCGCGCGAUUGGAGCGGCUGAUGUCAGAUUAGGUUGUUGGUGAGGUAAAAGCUCACCAAGCCGACGAUCUGUAGCUGGUUUGAGAGAACGACCAGCCACACUGGGACUGUGACACGGCCCAGACUCCUACGGGAGGCAGCAGUGGGGAAUUUUGGACAAUGGGCGAAAGCCUGAUCCAGCAAUGCCGCGUGCAGGAAGAAGGCCUUCGGGUUGUAAACUGCUUUUGUACGGAACGAAACGGCUCGCUUUAAUACAGUGGGCUAAUGACGGUACCGUAAGAAUAAGCACCGGCUAACUACGUGCCAGCCGCCGCUGUAACAC